rnacentral:tRNA from 1 species
ACUUGGCUGGCUCAGUCAGUAGAACAUGGGACUCUGGAUCUCAGGGUUGUGAGUUCCAGCCCCACGGCAGGUA